UGGGGGGUUCUGGAUCAACGUGGACGUUUUUUAGUCUGUCCUUGAACAAUUUUGGAAUAGCUAAUUUCAGCCUUGUCCAUUCCGAGAUCCAGUUUCUCUUAUCUUUAAGAGUAUUGUAUAUAAAGUUGUCGCUUUUGAUGUUUUUCGUUUCUUCAUCCCAAAUAUCUUUUAUUGUAUGAAUUCCACUUUUUCCGAAGUUAGCGAAAAAAAUAGGUUU
rnacentral:lncRNA from 1 species